GAUGAACGCUUGCGGCGGGCCUAAUACAUGCAAGUCGGGCGGACAUACGGAGAUCGUUUUCCUCGGACGUUACCGACGGACGGGUAACUAGCACGUAGAUAACCUAUCUCUAAGGCUUAGAUAACUUCGGGAAACAGGAGGCAAGACCAAAUUAUAUGUUUAGCCGUGUGUAUUAAUCAUAUAAUUAUGUGUUACUGUCAGGUAUAGAUUAAUCCGCGCCGCAGUAGCUAUUUGGUAAGGUAACGGCUUAGCAAGGCAACGAUGCGUAGCCGACCUGAGAGGGUGAUCGGCCACACUGGAACUGAGACACGGUCCAGACUCCUACGGGAGGCAGCAGUAGGGAAUCUUCCGCAAUGGGCGAAAGCCUGACGGAGCAACGCCGCGUGAGUGAUGAAGGUCUUCGGAUCGUAAAACUCUGUUAUUAGGGAAGAACAAAUGUGUAAGUAACUAUGCACGUCUUGACGGUACCUAAUCAGAAAGCCACGGCUAACUACGUG
rnacentral:rRNA from 1 species